rnacentral:rRNA from 1 species
GAUGAACGCUGGCGGCGUGCCUAAUACAUGCAAGUCGAGCAAACGGACGAGAAGCUUGCUUCUCUGAUGUUAGCGGCGGACGGGUGAGUAACACGUGGAUAACCUACCUAUAAGACUGGGAUAACUUCGGGAAACCGGAGCUAAUACCGGAUAAUAUUUUGAACCGCAUGGUUCAAAAGCGAAAGACGGUCUUGCUGUCACUUAUAGAUGGAUCCGCGCUGCAUUAGCUAGUUGGUAAGGUAACGGCUUACCAAGGCAACGAUGCAUAGCCGACCUGAGAGGGUGAUCGGCCACACUGGAACUGAGACACGGUCCAGACUCCUACGGGAGGCAGCAGUAGGGAAUCUUCCGCAAUGGGCGAAAGCCUGACGGAGCAACGCCGCGUGAGUGAUGAAGGUCUUCGGAUCGUAAAACUCUGUUAUUAGGGAAGAACAUAUGUGUAAGUAACUGUGCACAUCUUGACGGUACCUAAUCAGAAAGCCACGGCUAACUACGUG